AGAUGGCGCUAAAGCCGAGAGAGCGCCAAACUUCCGCCUACGGGUUUUAAUAGCUCGCUCACUGUCGUCAUUUCCGCCAUCCCGUCCCUCCCCCCGAGGGGCGUGGCUGCCAAUUGGAGUAAUAGUGGCUUUCGGCCGCUUUCGGCUACCAUUUAAGGGAUUGAUAGAGGAUUUGUCUUGGAAAAUAAUAAUUUUUUCCAUGAAAAUAAUAAUAUUUUGAAUUCGGUUUACUAAUCCUACCCAUUUUUAUUAUUGAGGGCAUCGUUUAUAUGUGUGUAUAUCUAUUUCCAGUAUGGGACUGAAAGAGGAAAAGAAAAUACUGCGGUGAUUCUCUAUAACUAAAGGUGAAAAACCCAAGGACAGAAGGGAAGGAAGCAAGAUUGGUAAAGUCUUCUCUAGAGGAAGUAUGAUAUUUGGUGUUAAGAUAAAGAACUUUCAAGUCUCUUGGUAUUGUCAGCUUUGUGAAAAUGGGAGAGGAAAGACCCUGCAGAAGAAAACGACUAAAAAGAUUCACAAGUGAAGAUCCAGUUGACAGAUGACAACCUCUUCAUAAAUGGAGACUUCAGCUCCUAAAAAUGGGGAGGGCCUGACUACAGCCACAUGAAAUAAAAACUUUUUGAAGAACAGCUCCUCUUAAUAUUGAGGGUAGAUAAAAUACUUGGGAAGUGUGAAACAAGAGAAGAAAAAAAGCCCCAAACAAUCAAUCAGAAAAUGCUGAUAUCAGAGUAGUA